GAUGAAGAACGCAGCGAAAUGCGAUAAGUAAUGUGAAUUGCAGAAUUCAGUGAAUCAUCGAAUCUUUGAACGCACAUUGCGCCCGCCAGUAUUCUGGCGGGCAUGCCUGUUCGAGCGUCAUUACAACCCUCAGGCCCCCGGGCCUGGCGUUGGGGAUCGGCGGAAGCCCCCUGCGGGCACAACGCCGUCCCCCAAAUACAGUGGCGGUCCCGCCGCAGCUUCCAUUGCGUAGUAGCUAACACCUCGCAACUGGAGAGCGGCGCGGCCACGCCGUAAAACACCCAACUUCUGAAUGUUGACCUCGAAUCAGGUAGGAAUACCCGCUGAACUUAAGCAUAUCAAUAAGCAGGA
rnacentral:misc_RNA from 1 species